UACGUAGGGCGCAAGCGUUGUCCGGAUUUAUUGGGCGUAAAGAGCGUGUAGGCGGCCAGACAGGUCCGUUGUGAAAACUCGAGGCUCAACCUCGAGACGCCGAUGGAAACCGUCUGGCUAGAGUCCGGAAGAGGAGAGUGGAAUUCCUGGUGUAGCGGUGAAAUGCGCAGAUAUCAGGAAGAACACCCGUGGCUAAGGCGGCUCUCUAGUACGGUACUGACGCUGAGACGCGAAAGCGUGGGGAGCGAACAGG
rnacentral:rRNA from 1 species